AUUGAACGCUGGCGGCAGGCCUAACACAUGCAAGUCGAGCGAGCGGCGGACGGGUGAGUAAUGCCUAGGAAUCUGCCUGGUAGUGGGGGAUAGCGUCCGGAAACGGGCGCUAAUACCGCAUACCAUCAGAUGUGCCCAGGUUGGAUUAGGUAGUAGGUGGGGUAACGGCUCACCUAGGCGACGAUCCCUAGCUGGUCUGAGAGGAUGACCAGCCCAACUGGAACGUAGACACGGUCCAGACUCCGACGGGAGGCAGCCGGUGUGAAUAUUGCACAAUGGGCGCAAGCCUGAUGCAGCCAUGCCGCGUGUGUGAAGAAGGCCUUCGGGUUGUAAAGCACUUUCAGCGGGGAGGCGUUACCCGCAGAAGAAGCACCGGCUAACUCCGUGCCAGCAGCCGCGGUAAUUC
rnacentral:rRNA from 1 species